GCUGUUGCCGGGCGGGGACUUCUCGCUCGACUCAAAAUCGAGCGGGAAACCGUAGGGGUUCGAGUUCCCUCACCGGCACCA
rnacentral:tRNA from 1 species